rnacentral:tRNA from 1 species
UGGGGUAUGGUGUAACGGUAACACGGCUGAUUCUGGAUCAGUUGUUCUUGGUUCGAAUCCAGGUACCCCAG